AUGGACGCACAGAAUGGACUUACGCAAGUGCAGGAAGGAGCACCAGAGAUUACUGUCAAAAACUGGGAACCUGGGAGUUCCCUCUCCCAGCCUGUGUUGACUCAGAUGUCCUCUGUCUCUGCAUCUCUUGGAUCUUCUGCCAGACUCAACUGCACACUGAGCAGUGGUUUUGAAGUACUUGGAUAUCAUAUAUCCUGGUACCAGCAGAAGACAGAGAGUACGCCUCAGUUUUUGCUAAGAUACUACUCAGACUCAGGUAAAUACCAGGGACCUGGGGUCCCCAGCUGCUUCUCUGGAUCCAAAGAUGCCUCGGCCAAUUCAGGGAUUUUACUCAUCUCUGGACUUCAGCCUGAGGAUGAGGCUGACUAUUACUGUGCAAUAUAUCAUGGCAACACUGGCACUAACACAGUGAUUUAG